rnacentral:rRNA from 1 species
AUGGGCUCCAACGCCGUCGGCCUCAACCUCGGCGCCCCACCAACAGAGAAGCUCGCGAGGGGGAACUACCUCUUAUGGAAGGCGCAAGUUCUGCCGGCCCUGCGAGGUGCGCAGGUGACCGGUCUUCUCGACGGCAGCGAUGCAGCGCCGCCGAAAACAGUGGAGGUCGCUAAGGCGGACAAGACCACGGCCAUCGAGCCGAAUCCGCUGUAUGGCCCAUGGAUUGCCAAGGAUCAGCAGUCGCAAUCGCGAAUAACAAACCUGAGGAUCGCCAUCUCCAACACCAAGAAGGGCAACAUGUCCAGCAACACUUUCAUCACCAAGAUGAAGAGCCUCGGAGACGAGCUUGCAGCAGCAGGUCGUCCGGUGACAGACGGAGAGAUGGUGGACUACAUCCUCGCCGGACUCGAUCGGAAUUACGAUCCCCGUCGUUGCAGCAGUUGGCGCCAUCAAGAAUUCAAUCUCUAUUGA